rnacentral:rRNA from 1 species
ACAAUAAAAUAACCAAUUGUUCGCCAAACAACUACGAGUAAAAACUUAAAACUUAAAAGACUUGACGGUACUUCACACCACCCUAGAGGAGCCUGUCUAAUAACCGAUACUCCACGAUUAACCCAACCCCCCCUAGCCAAACAGUCUAUAUACCGCCAUCGCCAGCUUACCUUGUGAAAGAAACAAAGUAAACACAACAGCACCACUAAUACGAUAGGUCGAGGUGUAACUAAUGGGCGGGAAAAAGAUGGGCUACAUUUUCUAACACAGAAAACACGAAUAGACUAUGAAAAUAGAAACCGAAGGCGGAUUUAGAAGUAUGAUAAGGACAAAAUACUUAACCGAAAUAAAAGCAAUGAAGUGCGUACACACCGCCCGUCAUCCC